AUCAGCACGCCGCGGUGAAUACGUUCCCGGGCCUUGUACACACCGCCCGUCACACCAUGAGAGUCUGUAACACCCAAAGCCGGUGGGAUAACCUUUAUAGGAGUCAGCCGUCUAAGGUAGGACAGAUGAUUAGGGUGAAGUCGUAACAAGGUACC
rnacentral:rRNA from 1 species